GAACAUUUCAGAAUCAAAAACAGGCAGACAAUACAAGGAAUUUAAUGCAGUUGAAUACCGGUCACAGGUUGUGGCAGGGGUUAACUAUCUCAUCAAGGUUCAGGUUGGAGAUAAUGAUUACGUCCAUCUGAUGAUCUUCCAAAGCCCUCUGUACAUUGAUACAAUUACAACAAGAUUUCUAAGAGCAAAGGGGGGCUGCAAACAAGACGAUCCUCUUGAACCAUUCUAAACAUCUAGCUAAAGUGAAAACAUCCUGUUUCAGCCUCCUCCAGAUUAAUGCUUUAAAGAAAAAUGUUUUUGUAUUAUCAGCCAGCUUAAUCCAACAAUGUUCAGUUACCAGAUGGGCUGUGUUAAAUCUCUGUAGCACUGGAAUCUGUAACAGAAAUGUCAAAUGUCAUAAAUCACAUCAAUAAACUUGAAUUAAGGAUUA